CCUUGGCCAAGGAUUUCAUCAUCGACUUAAUUGAAUGAAACGCAGAUCAUAAUCUCCUACUAUCUAAGAGUGACGAAUCCUUUAUUGAUCAAUCACAACCUUCAUACGAUUCUUGACGUACCCGAACGAUAUCGUAUUAGCGGCCCUUUUCAAAGUAACAUCCAACACCGCCAAAGUAUGACUGUCCUCAUAUAAGGUACCAUGACGACCUCAAGUCAAA
rnacentral:lncRNA from 1 species